rnacentral:tRNA from 1 species
GGAGAGGUGGCUGAGUGGCUUAAAGCAGUGGUUUGCUAAACCGCCGUACCCCGAUAAGGGGUACCGGGGGUUCGAAUCCCCCCCUCUCCGCCA